rfam:Bombyx mori DNA, contig: Bm_scaf20_contig14340, strain: p50T/Dazao, build 2, whole genome shotgun sequence.
UUAACUUAAAUUUUUGUAUGCAGUUGGAACGUUUGGCUAGGUUUGCCGCUAGGGGCGCUGUUUCAACUACAUACAAAUUUGAGUUA